GGGCAGGUAGUGAAGUGGUAAAGCGUUCUCUAAGCGUAUUCGGCGUUGUUUCUCCAGCGUUUAGCAAGACCCGGGUUCAAAUCCCGGCCCGCCCA